rnacentral:rRNA from 1 species
UACGUAGGGUGCAAGCGUUGUCCGGAAUCACUGGGCGUAAAGGGUGCGUAGGCGGGUCUUUAAGUCCGGGGUGAAAUCCUGGAGCUCAACUCCAGAACUGCCUUUGAUACUGAAGAUCUUGAGUUCGGGAGAGGUGAGUGGAACUGCGAGUGUAGAGGUGAAAUUCGUAGAUAUUCGCAAGAACACCAGUGGCGAAGGCGGCUCACUGGCCCGAUACUGACGCUGAGGCACGAAAGCGUGGGGAGCAAACAGG